GGAGUCGGCCAGGCAGUCGCUGUGUGCGCAAGCACAUGGAGGAAAGUCCGGGCUUCACAGGGCACGGUGCCAGGUAACGCCUGGGAGGCGCGAGCCUACGGAAAGUGCAACAGAAAGAUACCGCCUAAGUACCGCGCAAGCGGUACCGGUAAGGGUGAAAUGGUGCGGUAAGAGCGCACCGCGCGGGUGGCAACAUCAGCGGCACGGCAAACCCCACCUGAAGCAAGACCAAAUAGGGAAGCA
rnacentral:RNase_P_RNA from 1 species